AUGGUUCUAGAUUUUUAUUAAACGGCUCAAACGGGGUCCAACAGGUCAGUUUUAUUCAUAGCUACACAUUGAUAUUCUUGAUUUUUCCACCAUUUAGAUAAAUAUGUCACCAACACUGUUGCUUUAUUUCAUCAUAUUAAUCUUUAGUGAUGUGCAUUUGGUACCGGGUACCGGUACCGAAUUUCCCGUACCGAAUUGGUACCCAUUUUUUGUCGUUUUCGGUACCGGUACCGGUUCGAUACGAUACGGGUAGUUUAUCCGAUUUUGCCUUCAAAUACCGGUACCGUAGCGUACCGUACUGCACAUUUUUGGAGCGAAUUUCGGUACCGGUAUUUUCGGUACCGGUACCUAAUUGAUCUUACGUAAAAUUGUUAGUAAGUUUUGGUGAAGAAAAUUUGCAAGAACUUCUGCACAUGAUUAUUGACUUCUGCACAUGAUUUUCUUUAGACAAACCAUACCAUGGAAGAAACUAUAAGCAAUUCAACUCUAAUUGGCCAAAAGGGCAGCUCUGAUGGAAUGAUGGAUAUCGACACUCGCUAUAGCUUACGACAUAGAAACAAACUCUAUUGUGAGUACAACACCAGUGGCGUUUUUUCUUCCUUAGGUAAUUCAGAAUCAUGUUUAUUGAUCCUUCGCUGGGCAACACUAUCUCAGUGACUUGACUGUUUCUGUAUGCAGUUUCCUUAACCAUAUAAGCAUAUAACUUUUAUAGCUUUAUGUAGCUUGCUUAUAUUUUUCUAUAAUAUCCGGCUGCGAUUGUUUACUGUUGUGAGCUCAAUUAAUUGUGUGGAUUCAAUCCUUUUGAGCUGAUCCGAGAUACUAACUCAAAUUUUGUUAACGAUGCCCCGUUGGGUUCAGAAACUCUCAAGGAAAUACUUGAAAACACCAUUUACAAUCGCUUUGGUUAGUUUUGAAACUAUUGAAACAUGUUUUGUCUAUAAAACCCAUCAUUUGAUGUUUUCCGAUUUGUGUGAUAUCUAAUGUGUUUUUGUGUUUAUGCAUCUAAGGUUGGUGACCAAGAUGAAAAGCUGGCAGAAGGUAUCAAGCUUUAUGCUAUACCAACCACCUCAACUACAAAGCGGUCAAUACUUUUAAAAUUUGAUUUUAAAAGGAAUAGUGUCUGUGCAUAGAAUUUGCAUCAGGGUGGAAGCUUAGGGUCUUUUUCCCUGGACAUAAGUAGGCUGUUGCAGCUUUGUGAUGAAGACGAUGAUGGUGUAACCAGCGGGUAAGCUGCCCCAAAACCCGACCCAGAUGCUCACAACAUUAGCCCAAAUUCUAUUGUGAACAACACGGUUAAUAACUUACCGAAGCAUUUGUAGGGAGUGUUACCAGAACUUUGGGUAUUCCAAAUACCAUCUUUUCUUAACUGGAAGUAAAGAUGGGGAUGUAAAGCUUUGGGAUGAUAAAAGGGCAAAAUUGGUAUCAUUGGCCAAAAAUACAUGAUAGACAACCUUCAUUCAACCGCUCAAGAGGAUUUAGAGUGGUCAGGGUAUACCAUUUUUACCCUUUUAGUUUAAUUUUUUGUUUAGUAGAUAAUAACAUGAGGUUUACACUUGAAUUUUAAAUUAAAGAUUGAAACACUGUGAUAGAUAUUUAGGUUGUUUCAAAUUGUUUUUUUUUUCAUGUGGCGGUGAUGGUUCAGUUAAGGUGGUUCAACUUAGAGAAUUACUAUGAUCCACAUGGCCCAUGGCCUGUACAGUCCAGUCCUGUAGGCAACCUGUG
rnacentral:lncRNA from 1 species